GUGGGGAAUAUUGGACAAUGGGGGGAACCCUGAUCCAGCCAUGCCGCGUGUGUGAAGAAGGUCUUUUGGUUGUAAAGCACUUUAAGCGAGGAGGAGGCUACCGAGAUUAAUACUCUUGGAUAGUGGACGUUACUCGCAGAAUAAGCACCGGCUAACUCUGUGCCAGCAGCCGCGGUAAUACAGAGGGUGCAAGCGUUAAUCGGAUUUACUGGGCGUAAAGCGCGCGUAGGUGGCCAAUUAAGUCAAAUGUGAAAUCCCCGAGCUUAACUUGGGAAUUGCAUUCGAUACUGGUUGGCUAGAGUAUGGGAGAGGAUGGUAGAAUUCCAGGUGUAGCGGUGAAAUGCGUAGAGAUCUGGAGGAAUACCGAUGGCGAAGGCAGCCAUCUGGCCUAAUACUGACACUGAGGUGCGAAAGCAUGGGGAGCAAACAGGAUUAGAUACCCUGGUAGUCC
rnacentral:rRNA from 1 species